GCAUUUGCGUAUGUGUUCUUAUCCGAGCUUGUUGCUUUGGGCUCUUUUACGCACCCGACUGAGGAGGAGAUUGGUGGAGAAGAUGUGGAAGACAGACAGACGCUCCACACAAUACAAAAACCUGCAGUCAACUUCAAACAUCCUGACGCAUUUCUCAGCGGGGAUGGAGACGAGAGGGCGUGGCUUAUGAUUUUGGAGCAGAACGUAGGUGGGUUUAUAAUGAUUGCAGCACAUUCGCAGUACCUAAACCAAGGCAGACAGCACCUUUUUAAAGCAAAAUGAAGAUAUUCUUCCGACAAAAGAGAAAGUCGACGCCUAUCACGUGUUGGGACAAAUGCUCGCAUCCAGGUUGCGAAGCUGCAGACUGGAGCGUGAGUGAGUGUUGGUCUGCAGUUCAGAGGUCUGUAAACCCAGCAGGAGCAAGAUAAGGUUAUCCCUGAGGAAUGCAGAGCUUGGUGUAUGGACGUACUCCCACAUGUGAAGCCAUCUCCAGUCAAUGUGUCCUCUAAAACGACACUGACACGCGAUUGAAGUAUUCCCAGAACAAGCUCCUCUUGCAGUAUGUACUUGUUCUGUAUUGUCACCAUCUGGUUGUCUUCUUUCAUGUGAAUGAUCAA